UUUCGAUACCUCAAUAGAACUCUCGACAACGAAAGAACGUGGAAAGUACAUACCCAGCUAAUGCCUGCUUGUUUAUACCAGAAUUAAUUGUUACAAUUCUCAUAUUUCAUACUGUUGUAAGAGAGAAACCAUAAACACCAAGUUUGCUCACCCUGCCUUUAGCCCACGUUGACGUUAUGAGUACUUUUUUGGUUAUAGUUAUACCUAUGAAUCUUACUAAAGUGUGUUUCCACUAAUUCUUACUAUGGACGUGGUUUUUAUGAAGUUGGAAAGCCAGGAAUUGAAACAGGGACCCUUCCUUCCCAGAAGAAUCGGCAAGAGCGGCUUUUAGUCAGGUAUAACUUUAUAUUACUAUUAUUGUAACCUCUAUUGUUAACUAACAGAAACUGGA